rnacentral:rRNA from 1 species
CCUACGGGUGGCAGCAGUGAGGAAUAUUGGUCAAUGGGCGGGAGCCUGAACCAGCCAAGUCGCGUGAGGGAAGACGGUCCUAUGGAUUGUAAACCUCUUUAGGCGGGGAGCACUGCCGGGCACGCGUGCCCGGAGGGAGAGUCCCCGCAGGAUCAGCAUCGGCUACCUCCGUGCCAGCAGCCGCGGUAAUACGGGGGAUGCGAGCGUUAUCCGGAUUAAUUGGGGUAAAAGGGUGCGUAGGCGGAUUUUUAAGUCAGCGGUAAAAUGUCCGGGCUCAACCCGGGCGGGCCGUUGAAACUGGGUAUCGUGAGUGGGCGAGAAGUAUGCGGAAUGCGUGGUGUAGCGGUGAAAUGCAUAGAUAUCACGCAGAACUCCGAUUGCGAAGGCAGCAUACCGGCGCCCGACUGACGCUGAUGCACGAAAGCGUGGGGAUCGAACAGGAUUAGAUACCCUUGUAGUC